rnacentral:rRNA from 1 species
GCCUAGAGCGUCCGUAGCCGGCUCUGUUAGUUUUCGGUUAAAUCCAUAUGCUCAACAUAUGGGCCGCCGGGAAUACUACAAAGCUAGGGAGUGGGAGAGGUAGACGGUACUCCGUAGGAAGGGGUAAAAUCCUUUGAUCUAUGGAUGACCACCAGUGGCGAAGGCGGUCUACCAGAACACGUUCGACGGUGAGGGAUGAAAGCUGGGGGAGCAAACCGGAUUAGAUACCCGGGUAGUCCCAGCUGUAAACUAUGCAAACUCAGUGAUGCAUUGGCUUGUGGCCAGUGCAGUGCCGCAGAGAAGUCGUUAAGUUUGCCGCCUGGGAAGUACGUACGCAAGUAUGAAACUUAAAGGAAUUGGCGGGGGAGCACCACAAGGGGUGAAGCCUGCGGUUCAAUUGGAGUCAACGCCAGAAAUCUUACCCGGAGAGACAGCAGAAUGAAGGUCAAGUUGAAGCCUUUACCAGACAAGCUGAGAAGUGGUGCAUGGCCGUCGCCAGCUCGUGCCGUGAGGUGUCCUGUUAAGUCAGGUAACGAGCGAGAUCCUUGCCUCUAGUUGCUACCAUUACUCUCAGGAGUAGUGGGGCGAAUUAGCGGGACUGCCGUAGUUAAUACGGAGGAAGGAGAGGGCCACGGCAGGUCAGUAUGCCCCGAA